GCCAAAAGUAGGAAAUCUCGAGGGUGAGAAGCAUGUCGGGAGCUGAAGGCGAAAGAUAGGCGGAUUCGCUGGGUACUUUCCUCUGCUGGAGUUAGCAUCAAGCCUGGUGUAUAUGGUACUCCAGACCGAAUCCACUCCUAGGGCUUAUUGCAUGUUCAUUAUCCAGACACUCCAAAGAAUCAGACGGAAUCCAGGAUAGUAAUCAACGGCUUUAUUUUCCUAGAACUCAAAUUGUCUAUGGUUCUCAGAGCUACACUUCCAAAGCUACAGUCAGCAAUUUUUCUUCAGAGCCCAAGGGAGGGAUAGGAGUAAAGACGAGAGAAGGAGGGGCAUCAGAAAGCCCCGAAGAGGCUGGGAGAGCACUUUUCCCUGUAUUCAGUGGGCUACAAACUGGACGUGUGACACCACCAGAGGACCAACUCUGGAAGAACAGCAAGCCCCAGCUCCAAGGAGCCAUCAACUCCAACACAAGGGGACCCUCCCAGUGCACCUCAGAACCGGGUCAGUAGUGGGGGGCACACAAAGGGUGGGGAUUAACAGUUUGGUUGGUUUUGGUUUUUUUUUUUCCUUUUUUGUAAUUUUCUUUUAUUAAAAACAUUUCCUAAAAAAUGUGUCCUUUCCUUUAUGUCUGGGUGAUCUAUCUGACUAGAGGCUGGCCUUGAGCAUUAUGGGAAGCGGGAAGAAGGCAGCAGGGUCUCCCACGUUACCCAUCCUCUGACCUGAGAUCUAAAGAGAGACAUUUACUCAAUGCAAAUGAUGAGUCAACCCUUCAGAUUAUCAGCUCUCUCCAGGACCUUGGCCCUAACAACUUGGAAACUCCAAAGUCUUGAUGUUAAACUACAAUUCCUUGAACCCUGGGGUCAGGGGGAAAAAUGCUCUC